AUUGAACGCUGGCGGCAGGCCUAACACAUGCAAGUCGAACGAGCGGCGGACGGGUGAGUAAUGUAUGGGAAACUGCCCGAUGGAGGGGGAUAACUACUGGAAACGGUAGCUAAUACCGCAUACUGUCGGAUGUGCCCAUAUGGGAUUAGCUUGUAGGUGAGGUAAUGGCUUACCUAGGCGACGAUCCCUAGCUGGUCUGAGAGGAUGACCAGCCAAACUGGGACUGAGACACGGUCCAGACUCCUACGGGAGGCAGCAGUGGGGAAUAUUGCACAAUGGGCGCAAGCCUGAUGCAGCCAUGCCGCGUGUAUGAAGAAGGCCUUCGGGUUGUAAAGUACUUUCAGCGGGGAGGCGUUACCCACAGAAGAAGCACCGGCUAACUCCGUGCCAGCAGCCGCGGUAAUAC
rnacentral:rRNA from 1 species